AACGAACGCUGGCGGCAUGCCUAACACAUGCAAGUCGAACGAGACCUUCGGGUCUAGUGGCGCACGGGUGCGUAACGCGUGGGAACCUGCCCUUAGGCUCGGAAUAACUCCCCGAAAGGGGUGCUAAUACCGGAUAAUGUCUUCGGACCAAAGAUUUAUCGCCUUUGGAUGGGCCCGCGUUGGAUUAGCUAGUUGGUAGGGUAAAAGCCUACCAAGGCGACGAUCCAUAGCUGGUCUGAGAGGAUGAUCAGCCACACUGGGACUGAGACACGGCCCAGACUCCUACGGGAGGCAGCAGUGGGGAAUAGUGGACAAUGGGCGAAAGCCUGAUCCAGCAAUGCCGCGUGAGUGAUGAAGGCCUUAGGGUUGUAAAGCUCUUUUACCCGGGAUGAUAAUGACAGUACCGGGAGAAUAAGCUCCGGCUAACUCCGU
rnacentral:rRNA from 1 species